CAGGCCUAACACAUGCAAGUCGAACGAUGCCUUCGGGCAUAGUGGCGCACGGGUGCGUAACGCGUGGGAAUCUGCCCUUGGGUUCGGAAUAACUCGCCGAAAGGCGUGCUAAUACCGGAUGAUGACGUAAGUCCAAAGAUUUAUCGCCCAAGGAUGAGCCCGCGUAGGAUUAGCUAGUUGGUAAGGUAAAAGCUUACCAAGGCGACGAUCCUUAGCUGGUCUGAGAGGAUGAUCAGCCACACUGGGACUGAGACACGGCCCAGACUCCUACGGGAGGCAGCAGUGGGGAAUAUUGGACAAUGGGCGAAAGCCUGAUCCAGCAAUGCCGCGUGAGUGAUGAAGGCCUUAGGGUUGUAAAGCUCUUUUACCCGGGAUGAUAAUGACAGUACCGGGAGAAUAAGCUCCGGCUAACUCCGUGCCAGCAGCCGCGGUAAU
rnacentral:rRNA from 1 species